rnacentral:rRNA from 1 species
GACGAACCGUGCGAACGUUGUUCGGAAUCACUGGGCUUAAAGGGCGCGUAGGCGGGCGGUCAAGUCAGGGGUGAAAUCCCACGGCUCAACCGUGGAAGUGCCUUUGAUACUGGCCGUCUCGAGGGAGGUAGGGCGUGCGGAACUUCCGGUGGAGCGGUGAAAUGCGUAGAUAUCGGAAGGAACACCGGUGGCGAAAGCGGCGCGCUGGACCUUUACUGACGCUGAGGCGCGAAAGCCAGGGGAGCAAAGCGGG